AAAAACAAAAACAAACAUAAUUUUGUUUAUAUCCUACCCUCAGCGCCACCCAAGCAAAAAUUAUUGGUUUAUACGGUUUUCGGCCCGGUUAUCCUCACAGAUGCCCAUUGACCUCAUGUACAAAUUGGAUCAGCAAUGUGAAGCAGCUGAUAUUGCAUUAACACACUAACGAAAUUCCAGUUCCUCACCCUUACCCACGUUAAACACACAAGGAUGAACCGCACGAUGGACUCAUCUAAUCCAAUUCGCAGAGACCGCUCCUUUGACAGUGUUUUAAACAGGCUACUCCGAAUGCGUAGCCAGAAUCAUGAGAGCUUUCGCGCUGCAAUGUACAAUUUCCUUAUCGCCGCUGGCGUAGCAGCUUUUGUGGCCGUCUGCUUCAUUUUGGGACCAUUUGUGCGUCCACUGAUGUGGGCCUUUCUUAUGGGGGCUGUCCUGUUUCCGUUUAAACGUCGAUUGGCCUAUUUGCUAAACAGCUGGUUCCAGCGAUUGGAGGAGCGGGAUUCAAAUGUUUUAGUCUCCAUAUGUCUGGCUCCAAUGGAAGCAACAGAGCAUUGUGGCCGCUUGCUUAUCCGUUGGUUAUGCGAGCAUUGGCAAUUACUACUGGCCGGCUGUGGAGUGGCUGGAUGCAUAAAACUUUUAGUCUUAUAUGCUCCAAAGGGAUUCCUGAUUGCCAUAUGGAGUUGGGUGACUUUCUCACAUGGACUGUUUGUGAAGAUUAUUGGCUUUCUUAAUGUCUAUGUGCUAAUCGCUCUGGUUGUAAUCUACCUCACCACUGUCCAUUUCUUUUGGCGGCCAGAGAACCGAGCACAUUUUGUAGUUGCCGGUCAAUCCAUGUGGAUAGCCAUAGCCGGAUAUCUGUGCAGCUUUUUAGGAGCUCUUCAAGUACCAGUAUUCCUGCUGGUUAUGGCCUAUGUAACGGCCUCGACGGCGUAUCAUCUACAGAUUAGCACGGAUUCCGGCUCCUAUCUACAUCGCUUGCAGAAAUUGUUCGAUAAGAAUGACUUCGAGAGAUCUUUGAGUAAUUUCAGUAUUGCCGGCAAGACCACCGGAGGAAUAGAACAAUCCAAUUUACAAUCCGAUGUGGAGGAUAUAUCACUCAGUGAUACAAUAGAUUCAACGGACACCUUCGAUGCCAAGCCUUUGGAGGAGGAGGAGACUGAAGGCCAUCAGAGCGAGACGUUCUUCAAGCUAUUGUUCUAUGCUUGUUUAGCCACUUUCCUUUAUCGCAACAUUUGGAUGUUUAUAUUGGCCGCUGUGCCAGUGUUUGUGCAUUUACUCUUAACUUUGGGCGCCUACACGGGCAUAACCCAAUUUGUGUCUGGCCAGAUUUAUGACAUUUAUAAUGCUCUGCGGCAAUGGGCCAUUGAUCAUCAUUCGGCGGUGCUGCCUUUGUGUCUACCUGGCGUGCUGGAACUCAACUAUAAAAUCAAUUCCUUAAUUCGGGACUCACUAAAAUCUUCCGUGGAAUCAGUCACCUCCAUUCUCAUGAUCAUACUCAUGUUGCUCAUCAUUAUCUUUCUGGGUGUGUUCUUUUGCAUUAACAUUUAUUCCGAGACCAUUGAGGUGGCCUAUUUGGGCAAAGAUCUAAUUAACAAGACGAUCACAGAUCGUCCAGAGCUAAUUGAUAUUCUGCCCGCAAAUGUGCAGGCGUCCAUAGAUGAUGCGCUGGACAAUGCUCACCAUUAUGGACGCCGUAAAAUUGAGACAUAUAUUGAUGAUUGGCUGGCCGAUGCGGACAAGGUGCAUGCCACCAAGCUAAAAGAUCAAAUUCUCGAUGUGUGGGAUAGGCUCAUUCAAUAUUGGAUUGAUUUCAAUAAAGCAGGCACAUCCUAUGGACCGCGAGUGCCCACAGAUGCGUUGAAAAGUACAUUUGGUGAGAUUGUGGAUAAUCCAGGACAUUUUAAAGAGCUAGUUUUAGUGGCAAAACAGGGCAUCAUCGGUUGGGCGCAAAGCAACACUCAGACAAUACUCGAGGUAGCAGAAUCUCUUUGGCAUAUCAUACGAACGAAUCUCUCCAUGAUAAUGGGUGUAACUGGCGAUAUACUCUCACUGCUUCUAUCUGGCGGACAAGCUUGCGUCGAGUUUAUAUUGGACAUGAUUGUCUUCUUCACGGCACUUUUCUAUUUACUAUCAAGUAGUCAGGAUAAAUAUGCCCCAUUGCAGAUAACCAAAUAUCUGGGUUACUCCACUUCAGGGAUUAAAAUUGCCGAUGCUUUAGAAAAUUCAAUUACCGUGGUGCUAGUCUCCAUGUUCAAGUGCUCCAUCUUUACGGGCCUAUUCACGUGGCUGGUCCAUACAGUGUUUGGAGCGCGUAUUGUGUUCUUACCUUCAGCUCUGGCUGCCAUGUUGGCAGCAGCUCCAUUCCUUGGUAGCUAUUGGUGUGCUGUCCCGGCCUUCCUUGAGUUAUGGUUAGCCCAAGAUCGUUUUUAUGCCGGCCUAACGCUAUUCCUGAUGCAGUUUUUUGUGCCCUCGGCAUUUGAAACGGCCAUCUAUGCAGAUCUUAAGGGUGGCGGCCAUCCUUAUCUAAAUGGCUUGGCCAUUGCUGGUGGUAUGUACUGGAUUGGAUGGCAGGGAGCCAUAUUUGGACCUCUAAUGCUUUGCUUCUUCAUCGGCCUCUUUGAGGUUGCCACUUUGGCUAUGCGCAAUAAUCAGGAGAAUCCCAGGUAAGCUGGGUGCAAGUUACAAAUAAAUUCCAAACUUUUGAUUUUGCAUGCGGCCCAAGCAGGAUUUAAGCGCAGCUCUGAUGAAGAAACACGAACUACGUGAGUUCAGUCAUUCGGGCUAUUUUUACUACGAAUUUCCUUCCAUUUCCAUAAUACUCGAAAGUGCAAUCUUAACAUAAGCGUAAAGCCAAAUCUUGACAAUCAACAUGCGUUUGGCCCAAUUUACCAUAUUAAUGCUGGACUGCUGCGUUAACUUAAUUCGUUUUUGUUUUUUUUUUUUUUUUGUUUGUUUGUAACAAAAUUUUCAAGUAUUCCCUAUCCCGGUGUAUUAUAUAAGCAGUUAUUAUUUUUUAAAUUUCUAACAUUGGCGCCAUAUCCAAAUGCUUUUCCAAAAAAAAAAUGUUAGAAGAAGGUCAAAUGUCAUUACCAGUAAUCAGAUUUAUAUGAUAUCAAUAUUCGAUCAGAAACACUUUUACAAACUUUCUGAAGUAUUGAAUUCAAAAUUAUUUGUAUAUAUCUUCAUGGAUAUAUUUAAAAAUAGCUUUGGUAAAAGACCUUCAAGUAUAUUUGGACUUGGCGCCAGUCGGCACUUCUCGAAUUGUUUAAAUAUUUGUAUGUGUAUUAAAAAUACUUAAAAAUAGAAAUGUUUUGAGAUUUUAAA